rnacentral:tRNA from 1 species
GGUUGUGGCUCAGUGGUAGAGUGCUCACCUAUCACCCGUAAGGCACUGAGUUCAAUCCUCAGCACUA